GUUCUUACUUACAACAAGGUCUCUCUCUCUCUCUUUGGAGCCCUCAGUAAUCGAUUCGAUUAAUGAACGGCAAGAAAAUGAGGCAGGGUCUGGUUUAGGUCUUGUAUGCAGCAAAUGAACAAUACUGGAAACAAAAAGGGAGUUAAAACCAUAGAUGAAACUCAGAUCAGUGACAGCAGGGCAGCCUGACUCUCGGUUAUCUCCUCUCCAGAACCCUGUUGUUUCCCAGAUUGAUGGUGCAUUUCCAGGCUGACUACAGAUUGCUCUGAGGAGUCAGGCCAAACAGAUGAGGUCAUUCAGGAAAGACAACAUAUUUAAACUAGGAAUUAGCCCAUUAAGGAAUUUCAAACAUGAUUCCCUGAGCUUGAAGUGAAUUCUGGCUCCCAAAGAAAGCUUACUGUCUUUCUCAUGGAAAACAUAAAAUGCCUAAAUGCUAUUCUCUGAAAUCAGUAAUGAGAACCUUAAUGAUGAAAUAAACACACCCUCCUUAACUCAGUCAUAAUAAGCAUUUUUAUUAUGUCUUGUAUUUUCACAUGCAUUUUCUAGCGAUUGAUACUAUAGAAAAAACAGUUUUGAAAAUGUGUGUUAAGAAAAGACAGCUGAACAUUUUAUCAAAACAAAUUUAGUACACCACAUUGACAGAACUUAUAGUCAGCAUGUGACCAGAUUGGAGUGCAGGCUGUCUAAAUGAAACCAAAAUAAAAUGGCUUAUCAUAGUUACCAUAGUAACGUCAUUAACCUGCCUGUCCAAAUAUAUUUUAGCUGUCUCAAAUUACUUUAUUGGAAUCGGACACAUUGCUAAAUAAUUAAUUUUCUCGUCAUUCUUUAAAUAUUGCAUGCACUAAAAUAAAAAUGUGUCCCUCAGCACAUUAAAAAAGAUUAGUGCCAGACUAAUUAGGCAUCAGUCAUAAUCGGUCCUCUGAAAGUAGGCUAUGGUAAAAUUAUUUCCAGCUGACUAGCAGUAUCCUCAAGGGACCGUACAAUUCUAUGUUUCUGAUCAAGUUGGAGAUCUUAAGGGGAAAAACCUUCACAAUUGCA